rnacentral:sRNA from 1 species
CGCAAUCCCAUUACUCUACGAUAUUUUAUAUUCUACCCUACGGGGAAGGAUGAGAAGCUUCGACCAAGGUUCGACUCGAGCGCCAGCGAGAGAACGUUGCCGCAGGCAACGGCCCGAAGGGCGAGGAGCGAUAGCGACGAGUUAUCCUUCCCCCACCACCA